GUGAACAUAAUGAAAGUGUCAUUCGAAAUGAAGCAACAAUGAAUUCACAGGAACACAUAAUUCAAGGGAGAGAAAGAAGAAAGCCAAGCUGGAUGGAAGACUUUGUUACUGGAGAAGGAUUAAGUGAAGAAGAUGAAGCUGAGAUAGCCUAUAUAAUACAAGAUGUCACAAGUGAAGAUCCAAUUUUAUUUGAGGAAGCUCUUAAAAAAGAAAAUAUACUCGCUUUCACAAAUUAUGAUUAUGAGGAAGAUGGGAAUGGUUGAUUUAUUGAAAUAAACUGACAUGCUGGAAGUCAGUUUAAGAGAGGCAAUGAAGAGAUAUUUUAUUCUGCAUAAUAAUGCCUCAUUUGUAGGCACUUUAUGCUACUGCAUAAAUAAUGCCUACUUUCUAGGCACUUUUAUUUUUUAGUUGUUAU
rnacentral:lncRNA from 1 species